AGAGCCCAGGCCUUUGAAACUGCUAUCACAAGGCUGCUUCCACUUCCCCCCGUGGAUCCUGGUGGAAGUUUCUUGAUGUUGAGCAAGAACUCCCAGAAACUCCUGGAACCUGCUUCUCAGCCAUGCGCGCCGGCGCAGCCCUGCUGUGUGGCCUUAGGCGCCCCUCUCCUGCCCCCGGGCCUCCCUCCACUGCGUGACCGGCCACAUGGCCAUGGCUGCUGCUCUGUGCCUGUCUCCUCAUCUGUGAAAUGAGGAUACAGUCAUGGACCUCAUGGCGGGGGUGCGGGGGGAGGAUGGUGGUGGACGGAGGCGGGGCAGGGCCUUGGACUACUGUGUGCAGUUUGGAUUCCUCCAGGCUUAAAAUCGGCUUCCAUCCCCAACUCUCCAGCUCCCCGUCUCCACCCAGGCCAUUUGAACGAUCUUGUUGAAAAGCACAGUGGUUUCCAAAGCAAAUCCAAGUCUUGUGCGGCUCUGGGCUGAGGGUCCCACGCUUUUCACCCAGACCUAUAAUCAUCACAGAUGUUUAGAGGAGGUGGAGGCAGCACCCAGGGUCAUUCCUGGAGCAUAAACGAUCCCUGCAGAACAUGGGCUAGAAGACCCCACAGUGGGGCAGAGGCAGGUCCUGGACUGGGAUCCCAGCAGUGAGAAGACCUGGACAUCAACCCUAUUUCAUUGUGCCUCUGCAAAUCUCCCAACUUUUGGAGCUGUAGCUGCAAGCUCAGACUUGUGGUUUCCUGUACCUGGAGGAGGCCCAGGUCAUUCUGUUAAGUCCCUUGUCUAUUUCCUGCUUUUAUCUGGAUGCUGAGUUAAUUAUUUGAUCCAACAAUAAAACUAACAAGGUUUUA
rnacentral:lncRNA from 1 species